rnacentral:rRNA from 1 species
AAACUAACAAGGAUUCCCCUAGUAACGGCGAGUGAAGCGGGAAGAGCUCAAAUUUGAAAUCUGGCAGCCUCAGGUUGUCCGAGUUGUAAUCUAUAGAGGCGUUUUCCGCGUCGGACUGUGUCCAAGUCCCUUGGAACAGGGUAUCAAAGAGGGUGAUAAUCCCGUACUUGACACAACCACCGAUGCUAUGUGAUACGCUUUCUACGAGUCGAGUUGUUUGGGAAUGCAGCUCAAAAUGGGUGGUAAAUUCCAUCUAAAGCUAAAUAUUGGCGAGAGACCGAUAGCGAACAAGUACCGUGAGGGAAAGAUGAAAAGCACUUUGGAAAGAGAGUUAAACAGUACGUGAAAUUGUUGAAAGGGAAACGAUUGAAGUCAGUCGUGUUCUUCAGAUUCAGCUGGCUCUGCCAGUCUACUUCUGUUGAACGGGUCAACAUCAGUUUUGUCCGGUGGAAAAGGGCAGGAGGAAGGUAGCACCCUCGGGUGUGUUAUAGCCUCUUGUCGCAUGCACUGGUCGAGACUGAGGAAUGCAGCUC